rnacentral:rRNA from 1 species
GACGAACGCUGGCGGCGUGCUUAACACAUGCAAGUCGAGCGGUAAGGCCCUUUCGGGGGUACACGAGCGGCGAACGGGUGAGUAACACGUGGGUGACCUGCCCUCAGCUCUGGGAUAAGCCUGGGAAACUGGGUCUAAUACCGGAUAUGACUCCAUGACGCAUGUUGUGGGGUGGAAAGCCUUGUGCGGCUGAAGAUGGGCCCGCGGCCUAUCAGCUUGUUGGUGGGGUGANGGCCUACCAAGGCGACGACGGGUAGCCGGCCUGAGAGGGCGACCGGCCACACUGGGACUGAGACACGGCCCAGACUCCUACGGGAGGCAGCAGUGGGGAAUCUUGCGCAAUGGGCGAAAGCCUGACGCAGCGACGCCGCGUGAGGGAUGACGGCCUGGUGUAACU